rnacentral:rRNA from 1 species
GACGAGCGCUGGCGGCGUGCCUAAUACAUGCAAGUAGAACGCUGAAGGAGGAGCUUGCUUCUCUGGAUGAGUUGCGAACGGGUGAGUAACGCGUAGGUAACCUGCCUGGUAGCGGGGGAUAACUAUUGGAAACGAUAGCUAAUACCGCAUAAUAGUAGAUGUUGCAUGACAUUUGCUUAAAAGGUGCAAUUGCAUCACUACCAGAUGGACCUGCGUUGUAUUAGCUAGUUGGUGGGGUAACGGCUCACCAAGGCGACGAUACAUAGCCGACCUGAGAGGGUGAUCGGCCACACUGGGACUGAGACACGGCCCAGACUCCUACGGGAGGCAGCAGUAGGGAAUCUUCGGCAAUGGACGGAAGUCUGACCGAGCAACGCCGCGUGAGUGAAGAAGGUUGUCGGAUCGUAAAGCUCUGUUGUAAGAGAAGAACGAGUGUGAGAGUGGAAAGUUCACACUGUGACGGUAUCUUACCAGAAAGGGACGGCUAACUACGUG